rnacentral:rRNA from 1 species
GAUGAACGCUGGCGGCGUGCUUAACACAUGCAAGUCGAACGAUGAAGCCCAGCUUGCUGGGUGGAUUAGUGGCGAACGGGUGAGUAACACGUGAGUAACCUGCCCUUAACUCUGGGAUAAGCCUGGGAAACUGGGUCUAAUACCGGAUAGGAGCGUCCACCGCAUGGUGGGUGUUGGAAAGAUUUAUCGGUUUUGGAUGGACUCGCGGCCUAUCAGCUUGUUGGUGAGGUAAUGGCUCACCAAGGCGACGACGGGUAGCCGGCCUGGGAGGGUGACCGGCCACACUGGGCCUGAGACACGGCCCAGACUCCUACGGGAGGCAGCAGUGGGGAAUAUUGCACAAUGGGCGCAAGCCUGAUGCAGCGACGCCGCGUGGGGGAUGACGGCCUUCGGGUUGUAAACCUCUUUCAGUAGGGAAGAAGCGAAAGUGACGGUACCUGCAGAAGAAGCACCGGCUAACUACGU